UACGAAGGGUGCAAACGUUGCUCGGAAUUAUUGGGCGUAAAGCGCACGUAGGCGGCUUAGCAAGUCGGAUGUGAAAUCCCUCGGCUCAACCAAGGAAGUGCAUCCGAAACUGCUGAGCUUGAGUACUUAAGAGGAUCGCGGAAUUCCCGGUGUAGAGGUGAAAUUCGUAGAUAUCGGGAGGAACACCAGUGGCGAAGGCGGCGCUCUGGGAAGAUACUGACGCUGAGGUGCGAAAGCGUGGGGAGCAAACAGG
rnacentral:rRNA from 1 species